GCCAGGCGCGGUGGCGGGCGCCUGUCGUCCCAGCUACUUGGGAGGCUGAGGUGGUAGGAUCGCUUGAGCCCAGGAGUUCUGGGCUGUAGUAUGCUAUGCCAAUCGGGUGUCCACACUAAGUUAGGCAUCAAUAUGGUGACCUCCUGGGAGCAGGGAAGCACCAGAUUGCCUAAGGAGGAGUGAACCAGCCCACAUUGGAAACAGAGCAGGUCAGAACUGCCGCACUGAGCAGUAAUGGGAUCGUGCCUGUGAAUAGCCACUGCACUCCAGCCUGGGCAAUAUAGCAAGACCCCAACUCU
rnacentral:SRP_RNA from 1 species